GAUGAACGCUGGCGGCGUGCCUAAUACAUGCAAGUCGAGCGAACAGACGAGGAGCUUGCUCCUCUGACGUUAGCGGCGGACGGGUGAGUAACACGUGGAUAACCUACCUAUAAGACUGGGAUAACUUCGGGAAACCGGAGCUAAUACCGGAUAAUAUAUUGAACCGCAUGGUUCAAUAGUGAAAGACGGUUUUGCUGUCACUUAUAGAUGGAUCCGCGCCGCAUUAGCUAGUUGGUAAGGUAACGGCUUACCAAGGCAACGAUGCGUAGCCGACCUGAGAGGGUGAUCGGCCACACUGGAACGGAGACACGGUCCAGACUCCUACGGGAGGCAGCAGUAGGGAAUCUUCCGCAAUGGGCGAAAGCCUGACGGAGCAACGCCGCGUGAGUGAUGAAGGUCUUCGGAUCGUAAAACUCUGUUAUUAGGGAGAACAAAUGUGUAAGUAACUAUGCACGUCUUGACGGUACCUAAUCAGAAAGCCACGGCUAACUACGUG
rnacentral:rRNA from 1 species